rnacentral:lncRNA from 1 species
AACUUGCUGCAGGUUUGUUUUGGAGUGCAGGAGUGAAUAGUCCUUUCUGUCCUGCUUUGAGUACUGCUGUUGGGUGCCAUGGGGGGACCUUAAGCAAGCUCUGAAGUUGAGACAUGGUGAGUGCGAGAUCACUGCCCAAAAAGGGGAGGGGCAGGCGGAUGAACAGCCAGAGCUGCAAUGGUGGAUCCUCCUCUAGGGCUGCACGGGACGAAGAUAGAGGAGGCUCUAGGAGGACAGGCACAAAGGCUACCCGAAUGCAAAGCACUCCCGAGAUCUGUAAAAGGACUGGCCCCGGACAGGAAGCACACUUUAAACUAGAGGAGGGGUAAGACUCGCUGGCCAAUCAAGGCUUCUGGGCGGAACUGCCAUUCAUACUUUGAGGCGGGGUCUAACGGUUGCCUGCUUGAAGUUUGUUUUUGCUCUGCAGGAUUAAACAGUUCUCUGUAUCCUGCUUUGAGCGCUGCUGUUGGGUGCUGUGAGGGGACCUCAAGUAAGCUCCAUUUUUGAAACAUGAUCUUCAUCCACAUCUUGAAGUUUGAAGUUUGGCCAAGAAUAUACAGAGUAGAUUCUCUUUCUCAGGAUGGCAUGUGUUCAUGACAUCAAUACUACCCAAGGCUUCAGAGUCAUUGGAUUGCAGGUGUGUGACAUUUUUUCUACCUGUUGAAUUUUUCCAAAGAGUAUGAGGGUUUUGCCAGUGUGCAUGUAUAUGACUAUCAUGUGUGCCUCAUCUUUACUGUAGUCAGAUGACAGCCUCAGAACACUUAAACUUGAAGUAAUGAGCAGUUAUGGGUCCUCAUGUAAAUAUUGGCCAUUGACCCCCUUUUUAUGGAAGACCAGAAAGAGCUUUCCACUGCUGAGCUAUCUCCCUGCCCUAUGUUGCUCAUUUAUGAUCCACAUUUAUAUUACUGGUAUUUUCAUCUGUCCAUUUGUAACUGUUUGAACAUACAUGUAAACAUACAUUCUCUUUUAUAAAUUUUGUUUCCAUUUAAACUGGGGCACUUCAGGUUUCCGCUACAUGACUACAGACUGUAUACUGUAGAGAAUGUAUAAUUCUUUGUAGGAACUUCAGUAAAGACCUCUAAAUCUUUCUAUGUAUUUUGUUGGCUUGAUUCCAUUUUGUAGAGGAAUGAAGGUCUUAAUAUGUACCUUUGUUGCCCAGGAAUUCAUUGCAUAGCUUAGGCUGGCAUCAAAUUCAAUGACCUACACCUGCCUGUACCUCUGGGAUUAAAGACAUGAGUAAACACACCCAGCUUGCCUAUCAUUUUUUGUACUUUGUGAUUGGUCAUACAAUGUCUCUGAUGUGUGCUUAAUAAUGUUAAUCUGUUUGCCACUCUCCUUCCCCCCCCCAUCAAUUGUAAUUUGUCUUGCAAGUCUGUAUCCUAUUCAAAGCAUUCAGAAGUGACACAGGUGAAGCUCAUAGUUCAGUUUCCUUCUAAAAUAACUUGCUGUUUAGAUUGUAACUUCUCUGUCAGGAAAUAGUGGAGGAAGCACCAGAAGUAUAUGUAUAUAUUGUCAAGGAGGCAUAUAUUUAUUUACAGUGAUGUCAGGAUUAUGCUUUGUGUUGUCCAAAUCUAUGGGAUAUUUUAGGAUGCAGUGACUUAUGAUGAUGUGCGUGUGAACUUCACUGAGGAAGAGUGGGAUUUGCUGGAUCCUUCCCAGAAAAGUCUUUAUGAAGAGGUGAUGCUGGAGACCUACCAGAACAUCACUGCUAU